UCUUCAUGCAAACGAUGUGAUCCAUCGAGACGUGAAGAGUGACAACAUCCUUCUCAGAACGGAUGGUUCUGUCAAACUGGCUGAUUUUGGCCUCGCUACUCAGCUCAGCCCUGAGCAGAGCAGACGGUGCUCGGUAACCGGGACUCCUUGGUGGAUGGCGCCUGAAGUGGUGACAGGUCAACCAUAUGGCCCCAAAGUGGACAUAUGGUCUUUUGGAAUUGUGGGAAUUGAAAUGAUAGAACAAGAACCUCCUUACUUGGGCGAAAGUUCUGGCACGGCUACAUACCUGAUAGCCACAGUAGGGACUCCACAGCUGCGGCAGCCCAAGCUCCUCUCGGCUUUGCUGCGUGACUUCCUGAGCUGCUGCCUGCAGAGAGACGAG